AUUGAACGCUGGCGGCAUACUUUACACAUGCAAGUCGAACGGUAACAGGGAGCUUGCUCCGCUGACGAGUGGCGAACGGGUGAGUAAUGCGUCGGAACGUGCCGAGUAGUGGGGGAUAACGCAUCGAAAGGUGUGCUAAUACCGCAUACGUACUGAGGUAGAAAGUGGGGGACCUUCGGGCCUCACGCUAUUCGAGCGGCCGACGUCUGAUUAGCUAGUUGGUGAGGUAAAGGCUCACCAAGGCGACAAUCAGUAGCGGGUCUGAGAGGAUGGUCCGCCAAACUGGGACUGAGACACUGCCCAGACUCCUACGGGAGGCAGCAGUGGGGAAUUUUGGACAAUGGGCGCAAGCCUGAGCCAGCCAUGCCGCGUGUCUGAAGAAGGCCUUCGGGUUGUAAAGGACUUUUGUCCGGGAGCAAAUGCCUGGUGUUAAUAGCACUGGGAGCUGAGAGUACCGGAAGAAUAAGCACCGGCUAACUACGUGCCAGCCGCCGCAGUAACAC
rnacentral:rRNA from 1 species